AAAAGAAGGAAAGGGAAAGGAAGAGAAAAGGGAUUUAUAGGAAAAGGGAAUAGGGUGAAGAAGAAGGGAGAUUAGCAAGAGAUUUCAACUCUGACUUAGAGGCUACCCAAAUCAGACAUCCUCCAGAUCGUGUUGGUUAGUGUUUCGUUGGGUUGUGCCACGGUGUAGCAUAUUUAGUGCUGGAUAUAGACUUUUUGUUGUUUUUUUUUAUAAACUUAUGAAAUGUUGAAAGGUCGGAGGCCUAAUUACAAUGUUCUCAUAACUUUUGAAAUGAGUAAAGAUGUAAAUUAUUUUGUCA